rnacentral:rRNA from 1 species
GCAGUGGGGAAUUUUCUGCAAUGGGCGAAAGCCUGACAGAGCAAUACCGCGUGAGGGAAGAAAGCCCACAGGGUUGUAAACCUCUUUUGUCAAGGAAGAAGUUCUGACGUUACUUGACGAAUAAGCAUCGGCUAACUCCGUGCCAGCAGCCGCGGUAAUGCCAGCAGCCGCGGUAAU